rnacentral:rRNA from 1 species
GAGGAUAAGCUAACCGUACUGUUGGUUAUGUACGGCUAAGCAUUGAGGCAGUCUAAAUAGGCAAAUCCGUUUAGACAAUGCUAGGAUGUGAUGGGGAAGCCCUUCGGGGCGAAGUAGCUGAUUUCACACUGUCAAGAAAAGCUUCUAUCGAGUUUAAAGGCGCCCGUACCGUAAACCGACACAGGUGGGUGAGGAGAGUAUCCUAAGGCCAGCGAGAGAACUAUUGUUAAGGAACUCGGCAAAAUGACCCCGUAACUUAGGGAGAAGGGGUGCCUGUCUAUGACAGGCCGCAGAGAAUAGGCCCAAGCGACUGUUUACCAAGAACACAGGUUUCUGCUAAGUCGCAAGACGAUGUAUAGGAGCUGACGCCUGCCCGGUGCUGGAAGGUUAAGGGGAUCUGUUAGAGCAAUCGAAGCAGUGAACUUAAGCCCCAGUAAACGGCGGCCGUAACUAUAACGGUCCUAAGGUAGCGAAAUUCCUUGUCGGGUAAGUUCCGACCCGCACGAAAGGCGUAACGAUUUGGGCACUGUCUCAACAAUAGACUCGGUGAAAUUGUAAUCCCGGUGAAGAUGCCGGGUACCUGCGACAGGACGGAAAGACCCCAUGGAGCUUUACUGUAGCUUGACGUUGGGUCUUGGUACUACAUGUACAGGAUAGGUGGGAGACUAUGAAGCAUGGACGCCAGUCUGUGUGGAGUCAUCCUUGGGAUACCACCCUUGUAGUACUGGGAUCCUAACCAUAGGCCUUGAAUCAGGUCUUGGAACACCGUCAGGUGGGCAGUUUGACUGGGGCGGUCGCCUCCUAAAAAGUAACGGAGGCGCUCAAAGGUUUCCUCAGCACGGUCGGAAAUCGUGCGAAGAGUGUAAAGGCAAAAGGAAGCUUGAUUGCAAGACAUACAGGUCGAGCAAGGACGAAAGUCGGACUUAGUGAUCCGGUGGUACCGCAUGGAAGGGCCAUCGCUCAACGGAUAAAAGCUACCCUGGGGAUAACAGGCUUAUCUCCCCCAAGAGUCCACAUCGACGGGGAGGUUUGGCACCUCGAUGUCGGCUCAUCACAUCCUGGGGCUGUAGUAGGUCCCAAGGGUUGGGCUGUUCGCCCAUUAAAGUGGUACGCGAGCUGGGUUCAGAACGUCGUGAGACAGUUCGGUCCCUAUCCGUCGCAGGCGUAGGAAAUUUGAGAAGACCUGUCCUUAGUACGAGAGGACCGGGAUGGACGUACCUCUGGUGUACCAGUUGUUCUGCCAAGGGCAUGGCUGGGUAGCUAUGUACGGAAUGGAUAAGCGCUGAAAGCAUCUAAGCGCGAAGCCAACUUCAAGAUAAGAUUUCCCACCGUAAGGGUAAGACCCCAGGAAGACUACCUGGUUGAUAGGUCGAAGGUGUAAGUGCAGUAAUGUAUUUAGCUUAUCGAUACUAAUAGGUCGAGGACUUGAUC